rnacentral:lncRNA from 1 species
GAUUGGCUCUAGUGCAAGUGGGAGAUUGUUGGAAAUGUGCCCUAAAACCAAUCAUAUGAUGAUACUUUACAGACAUUUCACAUGUUAAACUAAUCUAGUUUAAUAUCAAGGGCAAAGAUUAUUGUUUGAGUCGUCUCAUAUAAAUGUUAUACGCUUAAACGAUAAGUCCAAGGAAUAUGUGAUUGGGAGAAUGCGAUCUA